UACGGAGGGGGCUAGCGUUGUUCGGAAUUACUGGGCGUAAAGCGCACGUAGGCGGGCUGUUAAGUCGGGGGUGAAAUCCCGGGGCUCAACCCCGGAACUGCCCUCGAUACUGGCAGCCUAGAGAUCGAGAGAGGCGAGUGGAAUACCGAGUGUAGAGGUGAAAUUCGUAGAUAUUCGGUGGAACACCAGUGGCGAAGGCGGCUCGCUGGCUCGAUACUGACGCUGAGGUGCGAAAGCGUGGGGAGCAAACAGG
rnacentral:rRNA from 1 species